UACGGAGGGGGUUAGCGUUGUUCGGAAUUACUGGGCGUAAAGCGCGCGUAGGCGGAUUAGAAAGUUGGGGGUGAAAUCCCGGGGCUCAACCCCGGAACUGCCUCCAAAACUACUAGUCUAGAGUUCGAGAGAGGUGAGUGGAAUUCCGAGUGUAGAGGUGAAAUUCGUAGAUAUUCGGAGGAACACCAGUGGCGAAGGCGGCUCACUGGCUCGAUACUGACGCUGAGGUGUGAAAGUGUGGGGAGCAAACAGG
rnacentral:rRNA from 1 species